UUGAGAUGGCCUCGCGUCCGAUUAGCUAGUUGGUGAGGUAACGGCCCACCAAGGCGACGAUCGGUAGCCGGACUGAGAGGUUGAACGGCCACAUUGGGACUGAGACACGGCCCAGACUCCUACGGGAGGCAGCAGUGGGGAAUAUUGCACAAUGGGGGAAACCCUGAUGCAGCGACGCCGCGUGGAGGAAGAAGGUCUUCGGAUUGUAAACUCCUGUUGUUGAGGAAGAUAAUGACGGUACUCAACAAGGAAGUGACGGCUAACUACGUGCCAGCAGCCGCGGUAAAACGUAGGUCACAAGCGUUGUCCGGAAUUACUGGGUGUAAAGGGAGCGCAGGCGGGAAGACAAGUUGGAAGUGAAAUCCAUGGGCUCAACCCAUGAACUGCUUUCAAAACUGUUUUUCUUGAGUAGUGCA
rnacentral:rRNA from 1 species